UUUUUAUUCGUUUUUCCAAACAGUCUUGGUAACGAGAAAUGUGUAGGGCCUUUACAUUGUAACUAUUAUAAUACAACAAAGAAUUUUAUUAUUGUUUUUUAAAUAUCUCCGAGCUUUGAAUUUGUGAUUUAAAACAAAGUUCUUCAACGGCAUGACUUUAACCGAAUACUUGUAUUGAGGAAAGAUACGAUUUAAAGUUAUUAAAAUAAAUAUUGAUUUUUUUUUUAAUAAUAAAAAAAAAAUCAGUACUCGAAUGUUACAAUUAUUAUAGAACAUAAUAUUAUGUUAGAUAAAGAUAAUGUCGGAGUUAACACACAUAUUAUUAUUCCGGAGUGGUAGUCAAACUGUCUCCUUAUUAAAAUCAUUUUGGUUCAAAUUGCACUCAAAAUGUUUGAAUUUCAAUCGAUCUGAUACUUUUAUAUACUGAUACUGUCUUCCGUCUCUGUGUGUUCAUCAUAAUAUUAUGGUCAACUUAUUUACAAUUGUCUAGUUUAAAAACGAACGUGCCCAUGGUGAUUCGAUAACUGUGUACACUAAAUUGAUCUAUAUACAUUUUAUAAAGAAAACGUUUAUAAGCGAAGUGCAUACACCGAGUGUAGUUUUUGGAAGUGCCAUUAAAUUUUUUCUUGUCCAGAGUGCAACUCGACAAGGAUAAGAGCAAUUCGACCGUAAACCGUACAUUAUAAUAUAACCCUUUCCGAUAACAUACUACAACUAUUGUAAUAUUUAGUGGAUAUAUUAACAUAUUAUUACGGCCGAUCAAACUAUUAAUGGAAUACUUGUCAGCUGCAGCCUGUUAACAUUUCGAAGGAAUUCGUGUUGACAUUUUACAGUUGAUAAAUAUAGUUCAUCGUCAUGACGCCAUCACUAUGUUACAGCGAAACAUUAUAUGCUGUCCCUGCCUUUAUUAUUGUUAUCUAUGUGUUAUAUAUUUUGAGACUGUCUCUAUAAACAAGAGGGAUGUGUUGUAUAAAUACAUGAUUUUUAAAAUAUAUUUUCAAGUUUGUAAAAAGUACGAGCAUUUGUCGAACUGAAAGAAUGCCAGUAUUUGUCGAAUUAAAAUCAAACACGAACCAUAAAGAAGAAGAGUUUAAGUAAACGAAUGGAAUUAUUCAAAUAACAACAGAAAAAUAUUUUUGAAAGGUGAUAGCGAUCUACGGUUGCUAUAAAAUCGUAUCGUCCAAAGGGAGAAUAUUAAUGAGGUUUUUACUAUAGAGAAAAUAGCAUUCGUAUAGCAGGCGAUCUGCCGCUGCCGCAGGAAAGAGUGAUUUGCGAAUUUACAACUAGAUAUCUAUACGUGCAAAUGCAAAUUAUAUUAAUUUUAAACAUUAUGGUAGUAUAAAACUAAGAGAAAACUAAAUCUAACCAUGAUUCAAAUCCAUUUACAAUGUUCUUCAUUUGACACAAUAAUUAAGUGACGCAAAUACUUUUAAAAUUACAUUAUGU